CCUCUGUGCUUUUUUGCUUUUUCCGCUCUAAAUCCUGCGGGGGUUUCCCCGCCCGGAUCUCGGAUAUUUUUAUUUUUUAGGGUGCGGGAUGGAGCGGUGGGGAAGGGGCGCGGAGCGGGGCCGGUUCUUUUAAACCUUCCCGAGGGGUUUUUGGUGGCAGCUCCGUGUGCAUCCCCGCAGCUCCGAGCGCUCUCUCCAGCGGAGGAAAUCGGGGAAUUGCUGCUAAAAAGCCACACGAGCCCCUCCGUGUCCCCUCCCCGACUGUCCCUCCUCUCUUCCCGCAGCGGGAUCGGGCCCGAGCACCGGGAGCGCCCGGGAGGUCCCGGCUGGAGGAGGAUGCGGCACUCGGGCUCCAGAGAUUCCUGCACAAGAAGCCCCCAAGGACAGGAGGAAUUGGAGAAUUACGCACGUUGGUUUUCUUCCCUGCUCGCCGCUGCCUUCCAGGGCUCCCCAGCCCUGCCUGAGGCAGGGAAUUGCAUUUCCCAGCCCACAGGUUUGAAUUCCUCUUUGUCCAGCCCAGGUAGAAGCAGGAAGAUGACUUUGGGUGGUUGUUUCCUCUUCUUGCAGAGAUGAGGCCGUGCCUAGAGCGGGGCAGGGAACGUGUCCUGCCGCACGUCCCUGAUCCUGCACCAACCACUCCGUGCUCUUCACUCCUGGGGGAUGAGCACAGCUCCCAGAGAGCAGGGCAAGGAGGGAGCUGGAGCACCUGGAGCUGCUCUGCUGUCCUGACAAGCUCACUCAGCCAUGAGAUGGGAUGAGAUAACGCUCAGGGAACCAGUGGGUUGGUGCUGCGGGGUCUGGGUUUGUAUGACAAAGGAUGGGGGAUGUUUGCCCAGGGAUCCCUGCAGGAUCCCACAGGCUGUGUCAUCCUGGCCUCACACAGCAUUCCCAGGAACAGGGGGCUCAUCCAGGAGGGAUCUCAGCUUCCUGCUGCCCAGUGCACCCAGUUCAGAGAGGAUCUGGGGAACAGCUCCAGCUUUUCCUGACACAGUGGGCACGGCAGAGGUUGAUAUUUGGAAUAUUGCUUCACUUUCUGACGUGGCCUCUGAUAAAGUUCCUGGCCAGCUCAGCCAGUGUUUCUGGGAAUCAGGCAGUCAAUGCAAGCUCUGUGUGCCUGGCCCUGUCACAUCCCACUCGGGAAUGCUCAGCAUCCCUGUGGGAUGGAGGCUGCCCGAGCUCCCAGCCCGGCUCUGUGCUCCAUCCCCUUCCUCCUGCAGGAACAACAGAGUGUGUGCAUUGGCUCCAGAGCAGGCACAGCCCUGCUGCUGCCAGCAAGGAAAAAUUUCCUUUCCAGUGGCAGCCAGGGAAGGCAUUUUUAGAGGAUGAGAGCACAUGGAAUCUCUGGAGCUCUGGGAUGCACACACAGUUCCUCCAUCCUUCCUCUGACCAAGGGGGAAAGUUCUCAUUUAUCCCAAGCUGCCAGCAGAUUGCACGUGGGAAUUCCAAGGAGCAAAGAGAAAGAGCUUUAAUUCCCCUUUAUGAGGAAUUAAAAACAAACCCUGAUCAGAUAAGAGGAACCUGUGGUGGUGAAAUCAGCCUCUGACACCUGCAGGAUUCAUGCUCAGCCCAGAGGAUGUGGCAGCUCUGAGGCUGCUGUGAAACAAUGUUCAAGCCUUUCCAGAAAAACUCGGGGUAAUCUGAAAAGAAGGAGUAAAAAGACAGGUGGUAACUUCAAAGCUUGUUUUAAUUGCAAUUAAUUGUCCUCAAGCUGGACAAUACUGCUGGGUCCCACUUCUCACUGGGUGCUUGGGAGGCUCCACUGCCUGCUCACACAAAUUUAAGGCUAAAUUUAAGUGGCUCCAUUCCUUGCAGGUCACUUCAGGUCCAAAAUUUGCCUUUUGCUCACACAAAAUGAGCCUUGCCUCACACAGAGCUUGUGUGGCUGUGGCACUUGGGGACAGGGGUCAGGGGUGGCCUUGGCACUGGAUGAUCCAAGGGUUUUUUCUAUCCCAAUCCCACAAUUCUGUGACCUGCAGCAGCUCUUUUCCAACAUGAAUAUUUACCUGGUGUGGAUUAAGAAAAACCUCUGCAAACCUGACUCCACUGAUCUCUCUCUUUCCUGCUUGGAGUGCAAAUAGAGAGGAGUGUCUGGGGUUCCUAAAUCAUUUUCUAGGUUUGAGCAUCUGAUGUCAAUGUUUUUAUCCGAAAUGUAUUGAAUAAAGUUUAUUUGCUAUUUA